rnacentral:tRNA from 1 species
UGUCGGUCGGGAGGGGCGCCGCGUCCAGCCGCUGCCAGCGGGCGAGGCGGCACCGCGCCCGUUCCAGCCGGGCACCGACGGC